CGUGCUUCUUGGCCCUUUGGCUAAGAUCAAGUGUAGUAUCUGUUCUGAAGUCCCAUGAUGCACCUGGUUGUUCUCCUUUUCACAGCUUCAAGUGUUGUUGUGUCUUUCUUGUAGUGUGGUGACCAGAACUGCACACAGUGCUCCAGAUGUGGUCUCACUGGUGUGUUAUGGAGUUUGAGCAC